GCACCAGUGGUCUAGUGGUAGAAUUGUACGCUGCCACGGUACAGACCCAGGUUCGAUUCCCGGCUGGUGCA
rnacentral:tRNA from 1 species